AUUAGGCUACCACUAGUGUUGCCCGCUAUUAGCAAUAGAGUACUAUAGAAUAGUAGUAGAGUAAUAGCAGGUAGUAGCUCUGAGUCUACUAGCUAAUAUGCAAUGCCUCUUGUCUUGAUUUCUUCAGCAAGUGAUAUCAAAUAUUGGUCAGAAAACUCAGGGAUAAUUAACUUCUGAUACAACAAGUUAAAUCUAGCCUCGCCUUCUCCAAAAUUGAUUUUGAUGAUCUCUCUCUAUCAAGAAUUUUCUGUAAAGUAUUCCUAUUUCUCAUGUCCUCAGGGUGUAGCAUUCCGAAAUAUUUCAACAGCAGACCACCACAGUCAAGAGACCAGUGCCAUUCACUUGCUGUGACCACAUCAGCCUGUUCAAGUUUCCCUCAUAUGAACGUGACUAGACUUUGCUUGAUCCUGUAGGAUUUUUGUAAGAGCAAACACCAGACAGAUGCGGUAAGGAAGCAUCAGUCGGAAAGGUAAAGAUGUCUAGUGUCAUACCCUUGUUAUGACUUUAGACUUACCUGUUCCCUGUAACUCAUUGCAUGGGAGUCAAUCACAGGAAUUACUGAAUUUUAAACUAAU
ensembl:lncRNA